rnacentral:lncRNA from 1 species
CACGCCCCACAACUGGGAAGAGGGGAGGGCAUCUGAGAGCCAGCCAAGGCCCAGGCAUCUGUGCGGGUGGCGGUCUUAAUUGUCUUCCCCAUCAGAGGGGUCAUCUCCCUCCUGGACUGGAGGUUUCUCAGGGCAGAGUCACACCUCCAAGAGAACCGGAAGCUCCAGUAUGCAGGGCGGUGUCCUCCCCAGACUAGGGGCACCUACAGGCAGGACUGAGUGCUCCAGGGUCAGAUUUGAAGGGCAGGGCUGGAUGAAACUGGAUUAUCCCCGAACACGACCUAGAGAAGGGUAGGGGCCCCCUGAGGUCAUCCUCCCAGGGAGUAGACCAGGACAGCCUCCGCCUCCCAGCCGGGAGGAUUUGGAGUGAGGGUGUUGCCCUGGGAAGGCAGCUCCUAGGGCCAGGCAAGAGGGAGCAGCCCGGAGGCCAGGCGCAGCCCUGGGCUGCCAACUGUGUCCCUUGGAAGUGCCUCCAGCUGUCCCGUCCUUGGCCAAGUUCCUGGCAUUGCCUCAUCCCUGAGGCUGCCAGAUGUUCCCAGCUGGGGCAGGGGUCCUGCUGAGAUCCAGCCCCACCCCACGGGAGGGGCAUGGCUCUUCUGUUUGGGCCUCCCCCUGGCCUGCCCCGACUUCCCUGGGCUGUUUCCUUCUCUGUCCAGUGGGGGAGGGUCUCCAUUCCUUCCUCAGACAUUUACUAAGGCUGAGGCUUCCUUGGUCUCCUGACUUCAAAAAUCUGGGGAGUCCGGUUUGGUUCUGGAAUACUUUCCCCCCUCUAUUUUAGAAUUUGUUUUUUAAAAUUAUGGUAGAAUUUACACCCACAUGAGAUCUACCGUCCUAAGCAUUUUAAGUGUAUGGUUCAGCGGCAGGGAAUGCCCACACCCUGCCCGAUGGCCCUCAGCGCUGCCCGUCCCUCCCCAGAACACUUCAUCUUUCCAAACCGAAUCCACACCUCCCCUGUGUGCAAAGAGUUUGGAACAGUCUUAGAGCAUGUCAUCACUCCCCAUCCAUGAGAAAAAGAAGAGUUUCAUUUCCUCUUCCUGUUCUCCCUGUCUUCACAUAGGUCGGAGUUUCUGUUCCGCAUCGUUUCCCUUCUCUCCGUGGACUUAACAUUUCCUGCAAGGCAGGUUUACUUGUAAGAAAUUCCCUCAACUUUUGUUUGUUGGAGAAAAAUAAUUCUCUCUUUUAUCUCCCUCUUCUUUUUUUUUGGUGAGUGUGUAUGGCACUGGGGAGUGAACUCGGGGGUACCCUACCACCUUCCCGGCCUUUUUUAUUUUAUAUUUUCAAACAGAGUCUCACUAAGUGCUGAAGCUGACCUUGAACUUGUGAUCCCUCUGCCUCAGCCUGUAUAAUGAGCCUAUAUCAGUUUGUCCCUGGAAUGACAGGUGGUUCGAUUUUGGAGGCUCGUCUGGCAGGGUGCAGGAUUCCAGGCUGGAGGGGGUCUGUCUCUCAACACUUAAUCCCAUGGCGCUCUCUUUUUGCCUGCGCGGUUUCUGGGAAGUCAGAUGUGAUGAUUUCGCUGUGUGAUAGGUAAGGCCUUUUUUCUUCUGGCUUCUUUUGGGAAUUUUUUUCUUUAUCUUUGAUUUUCCGUAGUAUGAAACUAAUAUGCCUAGCUGUAGUUUUUCGGGGUUUGAUUUUUUAAACGAUUCAUCCUUCUUGUUGUUACUCUGAGAUUCCUGGGUCCAUGGUUUGGUGCCUGGUUACUGUGGGGGAUUCUCAGGUAUCAUGGCUCAUAGUACCGCUCUGUUCCUUUCUCUCUGUCUUCCUGGUGUUCCUACUGUGUGUUCCCCAUCCUCCAGGAGCCCUGAGAACCCUGACACCGUCCUCCCCACAGCCCCUUCCCGUGGCCUGUCCGGAUGGAGGCAGGUAGGUGGGCUCACACAGCACCUGGUCUUUGGGGACUCGCUUCCCCUUAGCGUGAUGUUUUCAAGGCUGACCUUGUGCCUGUGUCAGUACUUCACCCCCCUGUUCCAUGAGAUGAACAGGCAGCCUGGCCCCCCGCAGUGCCGCUGAGCCCCUCUGUGGUCCAUCCCCCAGCUUCCCCUCCUGCGGGUCCUUCCGCCUCCAAAAUAACACCAGGUCUUCUGGGGCCGCUGC